rnacentral:piRNA from 1 species
GGAAAACAGUGACAUGUGCAAG